GUCCACAUGCUUACUGACCCCCUCAAAGAAUUCUAGUAGAUUAGUGAGCUGCAAAGGACAUUUUCUUUCCUGUCUCCGUACCUGAGUCUUCAGCUGAAUUAUCAGCAGGACACAUUGAGCUAAACAAAGCGCCCAGUCCUGCUAGGUGCUGUAUUGGAGAAGAAGAGUAAAGUCCAUAACUGGAAAUGUGACUGAGAAGCUGAGAACACUUUAAACAGAGCACAGCAUUUCUUUGCUCACAAGGGAGGAUGAGACAUUCAGAAUUCUAUUCUAACUGUCAUGAAACCUGGGGUUAGAUUCACAAGAGAAAUGUAGGUGUCUAGCUGCCCCUUUAGGUGCCUAAAUCCAAAAUUUAGGCAUCACUAGCAUUCACAAAACUGCCACUCAGCUGCUACCUAACAUUGGAAGUGCCUAAAGUCCCUGGGUGCCUAUGUUCCUAUUCUAAAGCUCCCUAGGUGCCUACAUUUCUUUCAUUUGGCAUGUACACUGCUGACUCAGUCCUGACACCACUGAGCAGCUUGGUGCCUAAACUGAUGUUUAAGCCCUGGUGGGUUCUCCCACCUACCUUGACUGAGGACCCUACUCUGUUAUGCAUGCUUAGAGCAUACCUAACCCCACACA